rnacentral:rRNA from 1 species
GACAGAGGAUGCAAGCGUUAUCCGGAAUGAUUGGGCGUAAAGCGUCUGUAGGUGGCUUUUUAAGUCCGCCGUCAAAUCCCAGGGCUCAACCCUGGGAUGCCGGUGGAUACUGUCGGGCUAGAGUACGGAAGAGGCGAGUGGAAUUCCCGGUGUAGCGGUGAAAUGCGCAGAUAUCAGGAGGAACACCUGUGGUGUAGACGGCUUUCUGGACCAUAGCUGACGCUGAGACACGAAAGCGUGGGUAGCAAACAGG